rnacentral:lncRNA from 1 species
AUGAAUGAAUGAAUAUGUUCUUCAUAUUUAUUCUCCUACAAUUUCAGGAUACUGUUUUUCUAUUAAUAUAACUCUGGCUGGUGGGAGAUAUGAAGAGCCUAGGAAAUGGAAAAGAAAGAAACAUCUGGAACACACAGGCCACAAUGAAAGGACUCCUGGAAAACCACGAGGUGGCCCUCCCAAACACUAAGACCGGAAUGUGGUUUUCCCCGGAAAAGAAGAAUCAUCAGAUGUCUGGAGAG